AGAGUUUGAUCAUGGCUCAGAUUGAACGCUGGCGGCAGGCCUAACACAUGCAAGUCGAACGGUAACAGGAAACAGCUUGCUGUUUCGCUGACGAGUGGCGGACGGGUGAGUAAUGUCUGGGAAACUGCCUGAUGGAGGGGGAUAACUACUGGAAACGGUAGCUAAUACCGCAUAACGUCGCAAGACCAAAGAGGGGGACCUUCGGGCCUCUUGCCAUCGGAUGUGCCCAGAUGGGAUUAGCUAGUAGGUGGGGUAACGGCUCACCUAGGCGACGAUCCCUAGCUGGUCUGAGAGGAUGACCAGCCACACUGGAACUGAGACACGGUCCAGACUCCUACGGGAGGCAGCAGUGGGGAAUAUUGCACAAUGGGCGCAAGCCUGAUGCAGCCAUGCCGCGUGUAUGAAGAAGGCCUUCGGGUUGUAAAGUACUUUCAGCGGGGAGGAAGGGAGUAAAGUUAAUACCUUUGCUCAUUGACGUUACCCGCAGAAGAAGCACCGGCUAACUCCGUGCCAGCAGCCGCGGUAAUACGGAGGGUGCAAGCGUUAAUCGGAAUUACUGGGCGUAAAGCGCACGCAGGCGGUUUGUUAAGUCAGAUGUGAAAUCCCCGGGCUCAACCUGGGAACUGCAUCUGAUACUGGCAAGCUUGAGUCUCGUAGAGGGGGGUAGAAUUCCAGGUGUAGCGGUGAAAUGCGUAGAGAUCUGGAGGAAUACCGGUGGCGAAGGCGGCCCCCUGGACGAAGACUGACGCUCAGGUGCGAAAGCGUGGGGAGCAAACAGGAUUAGAUACCCUGGUAGUCCACGCCGUAAACGAUGUCGACUUGGAGGUUGUGCCCUUGAGGCGUGGCUUCCGGAGCUAACGCGUUAAGUCGACCGCCUGGGGAGUACGGCCGCAAGGUUAAAACUCAAAUGAAUUGACGGGGGCCCGCACAAGCGGUGGAGCAUGUGGUUUAAUUCGAUGCAACGCGAAGAACCUUACCUGGUCUUGACAUCCACGGAAGUUUUCAGAGAUGAGAAUGUGCCUUCGGGAACCGUGAGACAGGUGCUGCAUGGCUGUCGUCAGCUCGUGUUGUGAAAUGUUGGGUUAAGUCCCGCAACGAGCGCAACCCUUAUCCUUUG
rnacentral:rRNA from 1 species